UAUGAUAUUGGUACCGACUGGAUUGGGAGAGGGAUACACAAGGCCUAGACCCGGAGGCCGCACCACUCUUGACGAAUCCGGAUCGGGUAGGCAGGACUCGACCCGGCUCAAUAAUUCGGAUUACGCGUAGUUCUCCACCCUCUUAUCUAUUCUCGCAGCCGCCUGCCUCUUCCUUAUCUCGAACACUCCUCUCCUUCUCUUGUAGGCUCUUCUCUCCGAUAUUCCUCUCCGGCGAGUUCGGAGACUACAAUGAUGAUGACGAUUCCUCCCAGAACCGACUUCAAGGAGAGUGACGAUCUCCUCAGUGAUUCAUCUCCUGCAACAAAUAGGUAGCAAUUCCCACCUUCUCCUCCUUUCUGCUUGAUUUACAUCUCGAUCUCCUCCCUCAGCUCUAUCCUAACUCUCAUCUCACUUUUUCUGGUCGCAGAGUUGGGAAAUCAAGAGGGUUCUAAACAUCGACCCAGGUUAGAUUGUUUCUUCUAAGAUUCAUUUUCUACUACCUCUUCUGUGUAGACGUCCUAGGUAUAUUCUGACUUGGCUCAUAUGGCUAGGUUCGUGCUAAGGAUGGGCGUGAUGAAUUAAGACUCAAACAGAGGGGAACCGGUCAAGAUUUAAAGCAAGAAUACUUACCGCAAUGGAUCUUAUGUUUAGUUAAAUGCCUAGGUCGCUUCGUGAUUUCGUUAUGGUUUUUGCGUUCGACUAGGGGAUGUAGUAAUGGACAAGGGUAUAGGAGCAAGGGUAGCCUAAAAUUAUUUUUGUGGAAAGAGUAGCACGAAAAAAAUGGUUAAAAUUCUUGAAAUUAUUUUUUGUAUUCCGUUCCCUGAAAAACAGUUAGAAUUCUUUGGAGAUAAUUUUGGUAUUCCGUUUAUAGCCCGGAAAAAUGACAAAAAUCAAUUUAACGUUUGGAGACAAGAUAAAAACGCUUUAUAGGACGAUCCUAUCUUAGGGUUAGGCGUAAAAUCUUUGUCGAUUAAUUGUAAUCAUGUCAUGAUAAUGGGUAAUAAUGGUAACAUGCAUGAUAUAAAGUUAAAACCUUUUAUAUGACUUUUGAAAGUAAGGGUCAGAAAACUUCAAUGAUAAUUUUUGGCGGAAGCGUUAAGUGUAUGCUGCUCGACUCAGCUCUAUAGAUGAAUAGUGGUGGGGCCUUAGAUUUUUGGGAAAGUUUGACCCGCUCUGUCUGAGAGGUAGGAACAACCUUUGCUUCAUUGCUCAAAGUUGAUUCGAAAGUCCGUUCAUCCUCUUUGAAUACUGCCGCCGAUGGCUCUUUUUGAGAUAUCGGCUUCCACGAGAAUAUUUUCCUUGCGUUGAUCGGUCGGUAACUUUAGAGAUAUUAAUGGCUGAGUCGAACCCUAAUCAAGACUGGCAAUUCAGGCUAUGUGAUUACAAGGUUCCAGCUCGACAGCAAGUGAUGACUCUUGGGUCGAGAUUUCGACGCAUUUUCUUGGAGUGUUAAGAAUGGGAGGUAGAUCCUUGUUAUCCUUUUCUUUUUUCUUUUCCUGUUUCUUUUUUGAUAACUCAUAUUGAUGGCUUCUUACAUGAACCAAUCCUCAAUAGUACAAUGAGGGUUGCUAAUUCUGUGAGUGGAUUGAGCUUUGCGAUGGGGAGAAGUUUGACAAUGACUCCCUUAAAUCAGGCACCUUUCUCGAAGGUUGCCUAAUUGGUGCCAAGGCUUAAAGUGUGAAACUAACCAUGAUUGUUGAUGAGCUCCAUAAGAGGACAGGCGAUAUUUUCCGUGUCAUGAGGAUAGCCAAUAUUCUGCUUCAACCGCAGGCCAUCCCCGACCUCCCUUAGAUCGUACUUAUGCCCCCAAAAGGCUAACGAUUGGUUAGACUCGGGAGAUUAUUUCCAUACAACACUUGGGAUAACCAUCCAUGUUGGACCCACGGGUCCGCUUUGAGUUCAUUUCCCCAUAAUUGCAAGACCUUGUCGUCGGGGUGCCCCAACACUUCGGUUGUAAGCUUUCUUUUUGUGGUCGGUGGUAUCAAAGUUUCUAAUCAUUGUCAUCAAUUUUUUGAGAUGAUGAAAGGAAGGAUGGCAUGAUGCCCCUUCAUUCCCUUAUCAGCCACCAGUCAUUUUUAGUGGGAGAUCCACUUCACCCUUCACACUUUGCUCAUGCUUUCUAUUGAGAUCCCGGAAUCCUCUGCGGUUAGCGUUUCCAUUCCCAAAGAAAAUGUCCCACCAAUGGUGUUCGAAUACGCGACUACUUGACUAUGAGGCCGACAUGUCGCAUCUCACCGUUUUGCAAGCGUUUAAAACCCCAUUUUUCAACAAGAAGGGCCACAUCCUAACUUUCCCUUGUUUUGUUCACAUGCCGACACUUGGAGAGCUACGGUAACUUGGCGGUGUAUUCCUUCCUUUGGUGACAUCGGCUUAUCCUUUUUGUCUGGUUCACUUUAUCUGCCCCGAGAUCGGCACUACUUAUUUUUGUCUGUCUCGAUGAUGUUGGCCACUUCUCAACACUCCACGCAAAUUUAUUUUUAUAUGGGCAGCAAAAUGUAUGUGAAUGGUAUGUAUGGAUGCAAGUAAAGAAAUUUAAAACGAAUGAACGAGUUUUAAAAAUCAACAAACAAAAUAGGGACACGGGGGAAAAGUCGUGCUAUCCACUUUCGUUCACUUAGGGGUUGGCUAUUUUGAUAUACUUUUGACCUCCAAUUUAUUUUUUUGCUUCAAUGAUGUCCUUUCCUUUUUCCUGCCCCAAUCAUGACUUUGCAGCCUCGUGGAUCGGUGACUGGUCUAAUUCCGACUUGUUUAGGGAGAGCAAUUACUUAUCGGGGGACCUCCUGCCAUCUCGGGCCCACAGUGAAAAGUAGUUUAUUUUUUCGAAAAUUUGAAGUCAUUACGCAUUUUUCAAUAACCAUUUCCCUUCGGUUUUGAAGAAAAUCUUUUCUCUAUUCAUUUUAGAAGGGGAAACCUAUACAUCUACUUAGUCAAAGACUUUCAAAUAGUUUCCUAUUCCAGCUUUUGAACGUUUAACAAGGCACAAACACGGGGACAGAAUAAUAAGAAUUCUCACUAACCUCAGAGCAUAACUCGAUAAUCGUUUUUGAAACCCCGGGGAACUUGCUUAAGCGUAGUACUUCUUCACUUUAUCGGAGUUGACGAGAUUCGGUAAUUCUUCUCCGUCGUCAUUCACUAAUAUAAGGGCACCUUUUGAGAAUGUUCGCUUAACCACAAAUAGUCUGUCGCGGUUGGGGGUCCAUUUUCCUCUAGGAUCACCUUGUUUUAGGGGUAUGGUCUUAGUUACCAUUUUUCCCUCUCGAAAUCUCCUAGGCUUUACUUUCCUUUUGAAGGCCCAUAUUAAUCGUCAUUGAUAUUAGUGACCAUGAUGGACCGUAACCAAACCUCUUUUCCUCGAUUAGGUUCAGCUGGUCAGAUCGAGCAUGUACCCACUUGCUUCAUGUAGCUUUGCUUCCAUCAAUAAUCUAAGCGAAGGGAUUUCUACUUCCACGGGGAGCCCGACUUCCAUUCCGUACACUAGCUGGUAAGGUGUUGCCCCGGUUGAAGUCCUAACAGAGGCACGAUAUCCGUGACGGACGAAUGUUAACAUCUCGUGCUAAUCUCAGUAUCUUUUUGAUAUUCUUCUUAGCGGCUUCUACUGCCCAUUCAUUUUAGGACUAUAAGGGACCGAGUUGUGGUGUUUGAUCUUGAACUCCUUGUUGAGCUCGCUCACCAACUUGUUAUUGAGAUUUUUGGCAUUAUCCGUAAUGAUUCUCCCAGGAAGUCCAUACCUACAAAUGACUUCCUUCUCAAUGAACUUGGCUAACACGCUCCCAAUUAUAUUGGCGUAUGAGGCUUCUUCUACCCAUUUGGUAAAAUAGUAGAUGGCGACUAGGAUGAAGCGGUGACCUUUUGAUACUUUUCAUUCAAUCAUUCCCAUUACGUCGAUGCCCCCAGGAGGCAAAUAGCCAAUCCGAUGACAUUACAUUCAAAGAGUUUUGUGUGAAUUUCAUCAGCGUAAAUUUGGCAUUUGUGCCACUUGCGAACACAUGCCAUACAGUCUGAUUCCAUACAAGUCCAACAGUAUCCGGUCCUUAAGAUUUUUUGGGCCAUGGCGUGCCAACCGGAGUGUGUGCCACAAAUACCCUCGUGAACUUCCUCGAGAAUGUACUGUGCCUCUUUAUCGUCUACACAUCGGAGGAGGGUAAGAUCAUGGUCUCGGUUGUAGAGGGUCGAUACAUCAAUGUAGAACCCUAUAGCAAGUCUCUGAAUAGUCCUUAUGUCCUUUUUUAUGCCCCUGGUGGGUAUUCUUUUCUUUGGAUGUAGGUUUUUUGUCAUGGUAUCAUGGUUUACCGCCCGACUCAUCCUCCACACUAGCUACAUGGGAUGUGUCCUUUUGCUUUGGAUAUGAAUUUGGGGAAUAACGUUUAGCUCUCCCAACGUGUACUUAGGUGAUAGAGUAGCCAAGGGUUCAACGAUUUGGUUAUCGGUCCUCGGUAUAUGUUCUAACUCGAUGCUAUCGACACUUUCCAUUAUUAUCUUAAUGCCUUUAUGGUAGGGGAUAAGCUUUUCAUCCCUCGUUUCGCAUUCUCCCCUCAACUGAUAGAUAACGAGCAAAGAGUCUUUGUAGACUUUGAGGUUCUUAAUCCCCAUUUUUAUGGCUGCUCGGAUACCAAGGGAACACACUUCGUACUCGGCUACUUUGUUAGUACGGUAGAAGGUCAACUUGGCAUGGAUAGGGUACAGUUUUCCAUCGAGAUACAAGAACACCACACCUAUGUCGUAUCUGAGGGCAUUGGAUGCCCCGUCAAAUUUCAUGAUCCAAGGUUCUUUUUUGUUCUUGACAUUUUCUUCUUCCUCGAUGUUCAAAAUUGUUAGGUUAGGAGGUUCCAAGUAGCAAUGCUUCGAGGUUUGAUAGGUGAUGAGAUCUCGGGUACCACUUUCUGAAAAAAGAGUAUUUCCACCCUUACAAGCCUUGGGUACCAGGAAAUCGCUCCGAGGAUAAGAUCGUCUCUACUCAAGUACUUAGGCUUUAGACUACUAGAGUCACUUUAGAAUCGUAGGCUAUGAUAGAUGUAUGUUUUAUAUGUGUGCUCUACCACACUACUACUUCCUUUAUAUAGGCAAAGGGGUCCAGGGACGAAAAGCUGUUAAUGCCUUGCACCAAGAGGUGCCACAUCCCCAAGGAUAGACUUGUAGGCAACUGCCAUGAAGUCCCAUGGGUUUUGGAGGGAAAACAACUCAGAAAGAGCUUGAAUCAAACAAAAGGGUUUGUGCCCAUUCAUCCUAUGAGAGAGAGUUAUCACUCAAACUACCUAGCUCCCUACCAUCACCCUAGCUCAGCUCAGUACAGCAGCUAGUGACACUAUCAUCCGGCUCAAGGUUGAGCUGGACGAGCUUUAGUGUCAGUCUCUAGGUUCAUCUUGCUCACAGAAGAGCUGAUGCCAGCUAGUUUCUGCUAGCUGCGAGCUAAAGUGAGGUUUCUCGUGAACUCACGUAUCCGUCCUAACUUUGGUAUUACACCAAGGUCAAGUCCAUGGUGCAUAUUUCAAACAUUUCUCCCCCAUUUUAGUGAAGUCUAUGAUUUCGCUAAAAUUACAACAAAUAUCCAACUAAAAACUCUUGCAUCAAUGAAAAUGUCACGAAGAUUGAAUUUCCUUCUAGUACAUUACACAUUCCAAAAUACUGGAAUAUAGGGGUGUCGCUAUCGAUUGAACACAUGUACUCAUUUGAGUAUCUAUUCUAAGAUAUCCUGACACUAUUGACCGCCAUGUGUCCCAAUCCUCUCACGAGCGCACACGAAACCAAGUCCAAGUUUCUUGAAGCGGCUACACUUCACGCUCGCAUAGGUUAAUUCCUUACUCGUGUACCUGCGUAUACACUUUGUCAAUGAAUCAAUUAGAAGUUAUACUUUAACCUUUAUCACUCACAGGUUCUGGAGCACAUACCUUCGGGAUGGUGCAAACCUUGUGCUCCAGUUUCCAUUCGUAGGCUUUCCGCAUUGAAUUCAGCCUCUAACAUUGUAUUAGAGGGGAAUUGGGUGUCCUACGUUUGGAGAACGUGAAUUGGGUGUCCUACUUUGAAGAACUAUAAAAACUUAAUUCCCACCCCUCCUGCCGAUUUGGCAACCAAAUCUCUUGCUAAUCCCUUUGUCAAGUGAUCAGCCAGAUUUUGUUCAGACUGAAAAUAUUGCACUGUGAUUAUCCCGUCAGUUCACAAAUAGCACUAUGUCUCACCCCUAAAUGACGAGACUUACCGUUAUAGACCUGACUAUAUGCCCUAGCCAGAGUAGCAUUGCUAUCACAUAAGAUAGAAAUCGGUGAGAUAGGUUUCAACCAUAAUGGAAUCUCAUAGACCAGGUCCCUUAGCCAUUCUGCUUCCUUGCCAGUUACUACUAAACUUAGUAAGCACCUUCUCAAUGUAGUGAUAUUGACUUAACGAAAUUUCCUUCCCAUUUCGUUUGAUCCUAAUCCCGAGGAUCACAUCUGCCUCCCCCAUGUCCUUCAUGGAAAACUUUGAUGAUAAGAAUUCCUUGGUACUAUCAACUCAUUCUUGAUCAGUUCCAAAGAUUAGCAUGUCAUCCACAUUCAAACAGAUGAUGACUCCUUUACCGAAUUCAUCAAAUUUUGUAUACACACACUUGUCCGCCUGAUUUAAACGAAAACCAUGUGACAAGACAACAUCAUCAAACUUCUGAUGCCAUAUUUUAGGUGCUUGCUUUAGUCCAUAGAAGGAUUUGAUUAGCUUGCACACCUUAUGCUCAUUUCCAGGCAUAAAAACACCUAUAACAAAACCUUCCGGUUGUUCCAUGUAUACCUCCUCAUCGAGAUCUCCAUUCAAGAAUGUUGUCUUGACAUCCAUUUGAUGGAUUACUAGAUCAUGGAUUGAUGCCAGUGCUAUUAAUAAUCUAAUAGUCAAGAUCCAGCCACCGGAGCAUAGGUAUCAAAGUAAUCAAUUCCAUGUCGUUGUUUAAAGCCCUGAAUCACCAACCGAGCUUUAAACUUAUCGAUAGAACCAUCAUCUAAUAGUCAAGAUCCAGCCACCGGAGCAUAGGUAUCAAAGUAAUCAAUUCCAUGUCGUUGUUUAAAGCCCUGAAUCACCAACCGAGCUUUAAACUUAUUGAUAGAACCAUCGACAUUCUCUUCUUUUUGAAGAUCCACUUACUUCCAACGGUUUACAUCCCACGGGGAGAUCCGUUAAUAGCCAAUUUUUAUUUCCCAAGAUGGAAUCCUUUUCCUCAUCGACUGCCUCCUUCCAAAAGGCGGCGUCUUGCAAUCGCAUAGCUUAUUGAUACGUACUAGGGUCAUCGUCAACAUUGUAGCAGUACAAGUAUUGUGAUCCUAGUGUCAUCCUGGAUCCCUCGAUCAGAUAUACGUUGAAGUUGGUAUUCAACGAACUCUUCAAGGCCAGCCUUUGACUCCUACGGAAGCCAGUCUCCGGCUCCUACGAAGUAGAGCCUUCUCAUCUAUAGGGACAGGCACAGUAUCCUUUGAUGAUGGUAUCAAAUCAUUGGGUCUUUGGAUCGAUGAAAAACUAUUUUCAUCGAAGAUGGCAUCCCUAGACUCAAUUACUGAAUGCACUGCAUGUGCAUCGUUAGAUUCUAUGACAUAGAACCUAUAUGCCUUCAGCAUAUCCCAAAAAGAUGCAAUCAAUACCUCUUUCUCCUAAAGUCUUCCAUUUAGGAUUAGUAAGCUUUACCACAGCCCUACAACCCCAAACUCAAAGGUAACUCAAGUUUGGCUUCCGCUUAUACCAUAAUUCAUAUGGGGUAGUUUUGUUCCUCUUGUUAGGAAAUCGGUUUAGUAGAUAACAAGUCGUAAGCAUGGCUUCACCCCAAAACCCAUUACUCAAACCUGAGUAUGACAACAUCGAAUUNNNNNNNNNNNNNNNNNNNNNNNNNNNNNNNNNNNNNNNNNNNNNNNNNNNNNNNNNNNNNNNNNNNNNNNNNNNNNNNNNNNNNNNNNNNNNNNNNNNNNNNNNNNNNNNNNNNNNNNNNNNNNNNNNNNNNNNNNNNNNNNNNNNNNNAUACAAAAUACUUUGAUCGAGAGACCUUGUUGCAGUUCAACUUCGGUUUUGAACACACGAAAUUUUUUAAGGGCUUCAUCCUUUGAAUUCAACAAGUAAGUAUAGCAAUAUCGAGAGUAGUCAUCAAUGAUGUUGAUGACAUACCUCUUACCUUCGAUGGUCGGAGUGUUAUGCAAGUCACACAAAUCGCUGUGUAUCAACUCAAGCAUCACUGAUUUCCGUUGGAUACUAGUGAAAGGCUGACGAGCAAUCUUAGUGAGCAUACACGUUUUACAUUGUUCAGCAUUGACAUCAAAAGAGGGCAGAAGCCCUUCUUUUGACACAUCUGUUAGACGUUUAUAGUUAACGUGUCCUAACCGAGCAUGCCAUAAGGAGAAGUCAGAGGUACCAACCAUGAAAGCAUGAUCAUUAAUAAUAGUAUUAUUAAUAUUCAGCAUAAACAUGCCAUUGUUAUAGUGGCUGAACCCUACAAACACACCACCCUUAGAUAAUACAUAUCUAUCAUAUUUGUACACUUGUUUGUAGCCAUAUCUAUUAAGAAUACUACCCGACACUAAGUUCUUCCUAAUCUUAGAGACGUGAAGUACAUCUUAAAGCUCUAGGCAUUUUCCGGAACUAAGUUCCAACACCACCAAUCCACGUCUAACAAUAGGGGCCGUUGACUCGUUGCCCAUGUGAAGUACAACAUCGUCAUCUGAUGCCUCGUAUGUUUUGAACCAAUGACAAUGAUGUCGUUGAACGGAUGGUUGGGUUGGGAUUUCCCCUGUGAAUCCCGAUUUUGUCAAACCUCAGUUUUGAAAACUCGUUUGAAAACGCAAUUUAGGAUGCAUGAUGUAAAACGAUGCACAUGAUGGUUUUAUAAAGAUUAUGAUCUCAAGAGUAAGUCAUAUAUCAUUUGGCCUUCUCGAGGAUUUAUUGGGAUACACACUACUACAAUUGUUACUUCUUGCUCGGCUAGAUGCGGUAACUUGUUGGGUUUAUCCAAACGUUGACGAUCUCGCCUACCCCUUGGCCGCUUUGUGGUUAUAUCAGUUGGUGGAUGAUCCCUCAUCUUCGAAUACUGGAUCAUCCAUCAUUAUUUUAUUACUACUCUUCUUAACAUUUACAUAUUUUCCAUUCAUCAUUAACAUAAAAUCAAACCCAACACACCCUCUUUACUCAUAAAAUGAUCAAUGGUGCAUAGAUUCAACUACUUUAAUCUACCAUAGAGUCAUCUCUGGUUGUAAUCAAUAGGAUGUAUUCUUAAAAAUCAUCAAUAUAAUUUCCAUUCAUUAGUUAUGAUAUGGCGUUUGACGCCAUGAAGUUCAACUUACUUAUUUCCUUAACGUUUUCUUGAUUUCCAGCGAGGAGUAAUUUCCAAGACGAUGGGACAAGUAUCGGAGGAAUCGACUGCAGAGAAAGAAGAGAGCAAUUCGUCGUGGUUAUCGUCGGCAGAAAAAAGAUGGGAAUCAAAAGAAAUGGAGGCGGUGCCGGCACCGGAGUCAUUGGUGGUGGCGGUGAAGAAGAAGGAAGGCGACAUGCAGAGGAAGGUGAUCAGCAAGAAGGGAGCGAUUGCGUAGAGAUGGAUUCUUUGGUUUGUGAUGGUAUUCAUCGUUGAUCAAUUGUGCAAUCAUUCAAGACCAACUACAAUCGAGUAUGGGCCAUAAUCCAAAGAAUGCAUCGAUUCCACCAUUGGUCUCCGCUCAUUGACAUCUUUCACGCAGCGAUGCCGUCAAGAUCUAAAGCUCCCUUGAUCAUCAUCGCUGACAAAAUCCUACCGACCGGCAACGUCAAGUUUUACAACAAUUUCAGGCCGCUCCGUCCAAAUGAACUUUUUAGUGGUUUGAGACUAGUCAACGUUCUACACCAAUAAUUUCCAACUAGUGAACUGCAACAAUUAGCAAUGGUGAUUUGUCAUGCAGCGAAACUUUGUUACUUAGUGUUGUAUUUUCAUCGUUCUUUCCAAAUUAGCAAAGGUUGAUGAUGAAUUAUUGUUGAUGUUUGAAAUCAAAUUCUAUUAUUAGAAUGAUUUAUAUGUAUUAAAUUUUAAAAAA
rnacentral:lncRNA from 1 species